GAUCUUUCAAGCCCACCCACCACCUCUGGGGGAGGAGAGAGAGGAUGAAGGUUGACUUGAUUGCCAAUGGGCUUGCCCCUUCCUGGUCAAGACACUCCAGCAUUAGAAUCAAGAUAUCAUCCAGUUUUUUUCCCUGAUCUUUACUAAUUUCAGAGAUGAACAUAUUUUAAUCCGGGUCAGAUCAGCUCCUUGCAGGGAGGAAUUUCUAUCAUUCUCUUUCAAAUGUACAUCCAAGGGCAGAGUUCACAUGAAGACGUGGGCAAAAAAUGCUCUUCUGGCAUGUUCUCAAGUCAAGAAUCUCAUUCUGGGAAGAGUCCUGUGGAACCUACUCUCAGAUGUGAGCUAAUUAGUGAGCUGCACAUCAAAAGAAGUGAAGUGUAUCUUGUAAAUAGGAUUUCAUUUAAAACAGAUCAAAGAAAGAUCUACUGAAUCACUCCCUCAUCCACUGAUUUCUCCAAGCAUCAGGCAGACAGUGAAGAGAACAACAAGUCACGAGAAUGAUAAACAUAGCUCCAAAGAACAACUGUGAUGCUCAAGUCAAAUAUUAAUGAGAAGAGAGAACCAAAUAUAUCCAGGGGUGGAAUUAUACUUCCUGGGACAUGCAUGGUUGGGUUUCUGAUGUAGGCCAGGAGGGCAGUAAUCUGUGUUUGUGACCCAGUCUACUUCUAAAAAUACAAGGUUAGAAAU